rnacentral:rRNA from 1 species
AGCAGCCGCGGUAAUUCCAGCUCCAAUAGCGUAUAUUAAAGUUGUUGCAGUUAAAAAGCUCGUAGUUGAAUUUCGGGAUUGACACAUCGGUCGUGCCUUAAGGGGUAUGAACUGGUGUAGUCAAUUUCUCACCUUCUGGAGAACCGCGAUGUCCUUAAUUGGGUGCCGCGAGGAACCAGGACCUUUACUUUGAAAAAUUAGAGUGUUUAAAGCAGGCAUUUUUGCUUGAAUACAUUAGCAUGGAAUAAUAAAAUAGGACGGCAUGAUUCUAUUUUGUUGGUUUCUAGGAUCACCGUAAUGAUUAAUAGGGAUAGUUGGGGGCAUUAGUAUUCAAUUGUCAGAGGUGAAAUUCUUGGAUUUAUUGAAGACUAACUACUGCGAAAGCAUUUGCCAAGGAUGCUUUCAUUAAUCAAGAACGAAAGUUAGGGGAUCGAAGACGAUCAGAUACCGUCGUAGUCUUAACCAUAAACUAUGCCGACUAGGAAUCAGACGAUGUUAAUUUUUAAUGACUCGUUUGGCU